rnacentral:tRNA from 1 species
GGAGAGGUUGCCUAGCACGGCUGAAGGCGCGGCCCUCGAAAUGCCGUAGGCAGCAAUGCCUCGUGGGUUCAAAUCCCACCCUCUCCGCCA